GACGAACGCUGGCGGCGUGCUUAACACAUGCAAGUCGAACGGAAAGGCCCUGCUUGCAGGGUACUCGAGUGGCGAACGGGUGAGUAACACGUGGGUGAUCUGCCCUGCACUUCGGGAUAAGCCUGGGAAACUGGGUCUAAUACCUGAUAGGAGCCAUUUUUAGUGUGAUGGUUGGAAAGUUUUUUCGGUGUAGGGUGAGCUCGCGGCCUAUCGGCGUGUUGGUGGGGCAAUGGCUUACCAAGGCGGCAGCGGGAAGCCGGACUGGGGGGGUGGACGGCCACCUUGGGACUGAGGUGCGGCACCGGCACCGACGGGAGGGAGAAGGGGGGAAGAUUGCACGAUGGGCGCAAGCCUGAUGCAGCGAGGCCGCGUGGGGGAUGACGGUCUUCGGGUUGUAAAAUACUUUCGCUAGGGACGAAGCUUUUUGUGACGGUACCUAGAUAAGAAGCACCGGCUAACUACGUG
rnacentral:rRNA from 1 species